rnacentral:lncRNA from 1 species
CUACUACAAGCUUCUCAUAAUCCUGUGGUCCAGCCAACUGUCCUAUACAGGAAUCAGCACAGAAAGAGCAUGAGGUCUGUAUGCGCAUCCACAAAAGGAAGAGCAUGAGGUCAAAAUGCCAUCUCUGAAGGACUGCCAGAAGUUCAAAUGCAAAGUGAUGACAAACAAUGAAUGUCAGGAUUUUUCAGCAAUACUGUGAUAAGUAGAAGAUGGAUAAAUUCAUCCAUUCCAGGCCAAUCAGAAGGAAGAAACAGGAUUGCAGGCACGCCUACUGAAAUCACUCAACCAAUUGAAGAAACAGAAUGAGAUCUGGAUUAUAGGGUUUCAGAUAAUACCAAGUCCCUUGUGAAAGCUUUUUGACUUCUGAUGACUUCAGUUCAAGUCCCAGUUGGGCUCCUGAUCAGCAGGGUAGCUGAUUUCCCAAUGAAGAAAGAGAGGAAAUGUGUAAACUUGUUGAAGUGCUCCACAAGCUCCAGCUUGCAAACCUCGCAGAGGCUGCAGUCCAUCCAGUGCUCAGACUCUCACCUAAUACAACAUACUAGAAAGAUGGAAUUUGUUCUGGACUUUUCA